rnacentral:lncRNA from 1 species
ACUACUCCAUUUCUCUCUCUCCAUUAUUUUCUCUCUCCUAAAAUUUUAGGUUUUCUCUGUGGUUACUGUAUCAAACUUUCACAGUGAGUCGGACACAAUGGGUUCAAUCGCCGAUCCCGGCGAGUUGACUCAGCCGCCGAGCUUUGACGAGUUCCAGAGGCAAACCUCUCUCAUGACCAGCUGCACUCUACUCUGGAAGGAACUCUCCGAUCACUUCACCUCUCUCGAGCAAGACAUCAUGAAGAAAUCUGACGCC